UUUCUUGAUCCUCAAAAUUCUUUAGUUCCUCUGUUAACUGGUAUGGGGCCAUUGUUUCUUCUUCAUACUCUUCUCAUUCAUCAUUUUUGCUUUAAUGUGUUCAUUUAGCUCUUGACAUGUCAUGACAUUGGCAGGUUUUAAAUUAUUAUUACUCAAAACAUAAACAACACAAGUUAGAUUAUAGUGAUCGAAUAAUGCAACAAAAAAUAGAAGACAAAUAUUUUCACAAUACGAGAGGCUUUCAUUGAAUUUUUAAAAAUUACAAAUGUUGGCUAUGAUCCGCACUAGUGUAGGUCUGAGUUUUUUGGAAAGCAUAAAACAUGAAAAUAAGGUAAAUAAACUUAAAGGGUGGGUCUCGGGACUCAUUCGAACUACCAUCUAUUUUGCAAACAUAAAAUUUCAUCCUUUCAUCUGCCAUAUCAAUCGAGGAGUCAUGUUUAGAGUGGAAGUCCAAUUUGAUAGCUUAUCCCCUAGUUCAUCUGUCUUAUUCUCGGUCCUUUUGGGAAAAUCUUCUAUAAUAGCAUCACGCUCUUAGAACAAGUUCCCUAUUCCAUACUCGAGACCAUCGCUUAUAGGCUUUACAUAUAUAGGGAAUGACUGGUACAACAGAGGUAACAUCUUCACCAAUUCUGGACCUUUCUUCUUCGUAUCCCUUUCAGAUCUUUAUUUGGCAUAUAACCUAACCCAUAUUUGGACAACUUUUCUAGAAUCACAAUAGGCUCAAUGAUUCCAUCCAAAUUCUUCCGUAAGUCGCAUCCAGGAUCGAACUGCUUCUCAGCAUAACAUUGCCAACAUCUUAUAGAUCAAAGGCAUUGGCUUAUACGGAGUUGGGUCUUUCUCAUCCGUAUUCAUGAUCACCACCGUAUAAAAAUUACUUUCUCUUGGGACUUUUUAAUCACAGAAACAUAACCAUUAGGGUGACUCAAAUGACUCCCUUUUUCAUGGAUGACCACUUUAUUAUUUUCCUAUACAAAUUUCACUAAUUGGUGUAACGUUGAAGAAACAACCCCCGCUGCAUGAAUCCAAAGCCUUCCUAAGAGAAGAUUGUAACUUAAGGCAAUGUCCAGCACUUGAAAUGCUACUAGGAAUUUUACAGGCCUUAUUUGAAGAUGCAACUUAAUUUCCAUGAUGGUGUUUCUCUGACCCCAUCAAAAGCUCUUAUAUUUACUGAGUUCUAAUAAAUUUUUCCUAUAUCAUGGUUCAACAGAGUCAAAAUAGAUAAUGGGCAGAUAUUCAGACCUGAUCCAUUAUCAAUUAAUAUCCUAUUGAUGAUCUUGUCUUGACAUUUGAUAAUGAUAUGCAGUGUCUUAUUAUUCAUUACUCCUUCGAAGGGAAACUCAUCUCUACCAAAGCUAAUGCGAUGGUCUUCCACUACUUUACUUAUCAUGGCCACUAAAUUUUUGAUACUUGUGCCUACGGGUGCGUAUGCUUCUUCAAGGACUUUCAACAAAACUUUUCUAUGAUAUUGAGAACUCAUAAGCAAUACCUAAAUAGAAAUUUGAGUGGGAGUCUUCUCUAAAUAUUUAAUAAUAGAGUACUCUUUCGGUUGUAUUCUUCUAAAAAAUUCUUCAGUUUCUCCUCCAGUGAAUGGAUUUUUUUAGCACUCUUCUUGUAUUCAUCAUUAGCAAUUUCUUUUGGAGUAUAGCAUCUUCAUGAUCUAGUCAUUCCUUUUGCAGUUCCAGCUUUCACUAUAAAUUGUUCUCUUACAAGCAUCAAGGCAAAGGCUUGAUAAGGUGCAAACUUCUUAGUAACACUCAAGGCAGCCACUGCCUUUUGUGUUACUUUUACUUUUUCCAUUUCUUCAGGGAUAGCCUACACUAUAGAUUUUCUCACCACCAACUCAUCAUCUAUUUCUAUCAUACUGAUGGUUGCCCCUUCAUGGUUUGGGAGCGGGUUGGUAGUAAUAUUUGGUGGUGUUGUUUGAAGCGAAAUCACAUGUGAUCAAUCAAAUUUCAAAUCUUGAGCUUCAUAUUAAUACAGUCCUCAGUUGUGUAUCCAGUACCCCCUGAAUGAUAUGCAUAAUGUUGAUCGACGUGGAGAAAUUAGGAAUUGGUAUUGGCGGGUUUUGGUGGGAUAGGUUGGAUAAGAUCUACUGCCUUUAACCUUUUGAAUAAUUGAGUUCUAGUUUCAGCCAAAGCACUGAAACUCCUAGUGACUUUCUAUUCCUGAUGCAGACGAGGAAGAUUAUAGUCAUUUUGGUUGGUGGGAGGAGGGACUUGAUGGUAAUUUUGUUUAAUUAGGGAUUUUUGGUAGGCUUGAAAAUUUGAGAGUGGAGCUUGGUAAGGGGGCUGAUGAUUUGGCAAUGAGGAUGGAUAAUUCUGUUAAUUGGAAAAGAAUUUUGGUUGUGGAACUUAGGGACUAGGCUGGGUAUAAAACAUGGGUUGAGGAUUUUGUAGAGUUAGAGGGUAUACAGACGGUAAGGAUAAUUUCCCAAAAUCAAACCCAAGAGAUUUCCUUGACUUUUGGUUUGGACUAGAGGAUACGAAGAACACAUUAUUUCUCUUUUUCUUUGGGAAUUCUUAAGAUCCAAGGUGUUCAAAGGCUUUGUUGAUCUUCCCUGUCCUUAUUCCUUCCUCCUCUAU
rnacentral:lncRNA from 1 species